UGAGGAAUAUGGUCAAUGGACGCAAGUCUGAACCAAGCCAAGUCGCGUGAAGGAAGAAUGUCCUAUGGAUUGUAAACUUCUUUUGAAGGGGAAUAAAGUACGGUACGUGUACCGUUUUGUAUGUACCCUUCGAAUAAGGAUCGGCUAACUCCGUGCC
rnacentral:rRNA from 1 species